rnacentral:rRNA from 1 species
UGGCUCAGAAGCAGCCAUUCAUUCAAAGAGUGCGUAACAGCUCACUAGUCGAGAGUCCCUGCGCCGAAAAUGUCCGGGGCUGAAACACAACACCGAAGCUGUGGAAUCAUACCUAGUAUGAUUGGUAGAGGAGCAUUCUUAAGACCGACGAAGCUGUACCGAUAAGGAGCAGUGGAGGGAUAAGAAGAGAGAAUGCCGGAAUGAGUAGCGAGAGGAAGGUGAGAAUCCUUCCGGCCGAAUAUCCAAGGUUUCCAGGGUAAAGCUGAUCUGCCCUGGGUAAGUCGGGACCUAAGGAGAGGCCGAGAGGCGUAUCCGAUGGACAACAGGUUUAGAUUCCUGUACCACAUAUGGUCAGAACUGUGGGGACGCAGAAGGAAAGCAUGAGCCAGGAAUGGAAAGACUGGUACAAGCAGAGGGGAUGGUGUGCUGGCAAAUCCGCACACGAAAGUCCUUGCUGUGAUGUGGAGCGAACCAAAGUAGCGAAGCAUGCGGACCGGCUGCCGAGAAAAGCCGCUAUUGUGCCAUAUGUGCCCGUACCGUAAACCGACACAGGUGGAUGAGGAGAGAAUCCUAAGGCCGACGGAAGAAGUAUUGUUAAGGAACUCGGCAAAAUGACCCCGUAACUUCGGGAGAAGGGGUGCCUGAGAAAUCAGGCCGCAGAGAAUAGGCUCAAGCAACUGUUUAGCAAAAACACAGGUCUAUGCAAAACCGAAAGGUGAAGUAUAUGGGCUGACGCCUGCCCGGUGCUGGAAGGUUAAGAGGAGAGGUUAGCGCAAGCGAAGCUUUGAAUUUAAGCCCCAGUAAACGGCGGCCGUAACUAUAACGGUCCUAAGGUAGCGAAAUUCCUUGUCGGGUAAGUUCCGACCCGCACGAAAGGCGUAAUGAUUUGAGCACUGUCUCGACAAUGCAUCCGGUGAAAUUGAAGUACCAGUGAAGAUGCUGGUUACCCGCGCCAGGACGGAAAGACCCCAUGGAGCUUUACUCCAGUUUGGUACUGGGAUUCGGUACUGCAUGUACAGGAUAGGUGGGAGACGAAGAAGUUAGGACGCCAGUCUUAACAGAGUCGCUGUUGGGAUACCACCCUUGCAGUAUUGGGUUUCUAACCAGCCGCUGUGAACCAGCGGUGGGACAAUGCCAGGCGGGGAGUUUGACUGGGGCGGUCGCCUCCGAAAGGGUAUCGGAGGCGCUCAAAGGUUCCCUCAGAAUGGUCGGAAACCAUUUAAAGAGUGCAAAGGCAGAAGGGAGCUUGACUGCGACACCGACGGGUGGAGCAGGUACGAAAGUAGGACUUAGUGAUCCGGUGGCAUAAAGUGGGAUUGCCAUCGCUCAACGGAUAAAAGCUACCCUGGGGAUAACAGGCUUAUCACUCCCAAGAGUUCACA